rnacentral:lncRNA from 1 species
AGAAACUGUCUGGCUAUAAAAUAGUAUUCAAUAGAAGGAAUACAUUAUUUAUUCGCAUUAGGAAUGAUAAAGAUAGAAUUAUUGACGAGUACUACCCUGGAGUAUGCCAGAUCCCCAUUCUACAAUAAUGAAAUGGACACGAGGGAGAACUACAUAGGUUAUACAGCCCGUUCUAUGAAGAAACGAAUCCAGGAGCAUAAAAAAGUCAUAGCGAAUAAAACAAAAACUAUAGCAUUAGCGCAAUGUGCAAGUACAUCAGACUUGAACAUAAAAUGGUGCGAAAGUAAAUUAGUAUGCAGAGAACAUGACCCGAAGAAAGGAAGGAUUGCGGAAGCAAUGACUAUGCAC